rnacentral:lncRNA from 1 species
CCUAAUCCCAAUAUCAGAUACGAUAUAUUUUGGCAUAUUCCCUUCCUGGUCUAAAGAAUGGUAUUUUUUUCAAAUUAACAUUAACUCUGUCUCCAUAUAACAUUUUAGUACUACAGAUAAAUUUUGGAGGUAGUUCUCAAAAAUAGUGCCAAAUACAGAGAAAUCAAUCAUAAAUAUCUUAAUAUCGUUAUCCCUCAUUUCAGAGAUAUCCCAUCUGACAGCUUCUUUAUGUGCUUUUAGAACA